rnacentral:rRNA from 1 species
UACAGAGGGGGCAAGCGUUAUUCGGAAUUAUUGGGCGUAAAGGGCGCGUAGGCGGCUUGGCAAGUGGAAGGUGAAAUCCCUCGGCUUAACCGAGGAACUGCCCUCCAAACUGCUUUGCUAGAGGCCGGGAGAGGCGAGUGGAAUUCCCAGUGUAGCGGUGAAAUGCGUAGAUAUUGGGAGGAACACCAGUGGCGAAGGCGGCUCGCUGGACCGGUUCUGACGCUGAGGCGCGAAAGCGUGGGGAGCAAACGGG